rnacentral:lncRNA from 1 species
UGUUAGUGCCUAAGUUGCCAACGUGCAAGUGAUUACAAGCUUUAGGAAAGAAAAUACUUGCAUAUUGAACGAGGGACGUUGUUGUGCGAUUAAGUGUAGCCAUAGAGUCGCCAAACAUUACAAAUCCGGAUUUAGGGAAGAACAAAAAUCAUGAAAUGUCUCUAUCGAAAAUACUGUUCUUCAUCACCAAAGCCUCUAAAGAUGCACGUACACAUUCACAAUCACGAUCAGUUGCAAUGAACUAAAAUUUGGAACAAGAAGUAACCCAAUAACAUUUUGUUCUUUAGCUUUUAAAGGUUCAUGACCUAAAAUAUAAGGAGAAACAAGAACAACAUGGAUUUGAUCAUAUCUCGGGCACAUGAGGCAUCUACUUCAUCAUUUUUAUGCGUGUGAUAUUUUACUUUAAACUAAUCUACACUGCGGGAACGUCAUUCGUGUUAAACUGUCCCACAUCGGUGGGGUGAAGAAAACCAAAGGGGUUUAAAUAGUAUUACCCCACUCUAACUAAUACCGAGGCCUUUUGUGGUAAAACCCCACACCUGACGGAUUGGGCAGGUGGUUAAGUUGGGGACAAUAUCGGUGUCGUUAGAGUGGGGCGGGCCCGGCGAUUCAAAAAUUCCAACAUGGUAUCAGAGCCCACGGUUGCGGGCCCUUGCAAGCCAACGAGCUUGUGUGCAAGCCAACGAGCUUGUCACCACCUGGAAGGAAACAAGUCUGAGCUGUUAAUUGCAAGCCAACGAGCUUGUCACCACCUGGAAGGAAACAAGUCUGAGCUGUUAAUAUAGAGACGACCGCUGAGUUCCAUUGAAAACAAGUGGGCCCAACAUGAACCGAUCUCUGAGUUUCAAUUACCGAUGUGGAUCUCCGUGUGAACCACUAAAUGAGGUUACACGUGAGGGGGAGUGUUAAACUGUCCCACAUCGGUGGGGUGAAGAAAACCAAAGAGGUUUAAAUAGUAUUACCCCACUCUAACUAAUACCGAGGCCUUUUGUGGUAAAACCCCACAUCUGACGGAUUGGGCAGGUGUACUACAACUAGUAAAGACCAAACCCAAUUAGAAGGUGGACAGGGUGGAAAUCUUGAGGGGCAAGAAAACAGCUCUGGUCCUUC